rnacentral:rRNA from 1 species
AACGAGCGCAACCUUAUUUCAGUUACUAACGCGCAAUGGCGAGGACUCUGAAGAGACUGCCGGGGACAACUCGGAGGAAGGUGGGGACGACGUCAAAUCAUCAUGCCCCUUAUGACCUGGGCUACACACGUGCUACAAUGGCCACCACAGAGAGGAGCGAACCUGCGAGGGGGAGCGGAUCUCAAAAAAGUGGUCCCAGUUCGGAUUGUGGGCUGCAACCCGCCCACAUGAAGUCGGAGUUGCUAGUAAUCGCGGAUCAGCAUGCCGCGGUGAAUACGUUCCCGGGCCUUGUACACACCGCCCGUCACACCAUGGGAGUUGGGAGUGCCCAAAGUCGGUGAGG